GCCCACGUAGCUCAGUGGUAGAGCACUCCCUUGGUAAGGGAGAGGCCAAGAGUUCAAUUCUCUUCGUGGGCACCA
rnacentral:tRNA from 2 species